rnacentral:rRNA from 1 species
ACGAACGCUGGCGGCGUGCCUAAUACAUGCAAGUAGCACGCUGAAGGAGGGGCUUGCUUCUCCGGAUGAGUUGCGAACGGGUGAGUAACGCGUAGGUAACCUGCCUGGUAGCGGGGGAUAACUAUUGGAAACGAUAGCUAAUACCGCAUAAGAGUAGAUGUCGCAUGACAUUUGCUUAAAAGGUGCAACUGCACCACUACCAGAUGGACCUGCGUUGUAUUAGCUAGUUGGUGAGGUAACGGCUCACCAAGGCAACGAUACAUAGCCGACCUGAGAGGGUGAUCGGCCACACUGGGACUGAGACACGGCCCAGACUCCUACGGGAGGCAGCAGUAGGGAAUCUUCGGCAAUGGACGGAAGUCUGACCGAGCAACGCCGCGUGAGUGAAGAAGGUUUUCGGAUCGUAAAGCUCUGUUGUAAGAGAAGAACGAGUGUGAGAGUGGAAAGUUCACACUGUGACGGUAUCUUACCAGAAAGGGACGGCUAACUACGUG